UCCUUUGCGCGAAUGACUUGCGCAUGAUUUAGGACCAUACCUUUUCGAUAUCACGCGCAUGAAAUCAAUAUUCCAUCAACCACCUCACAUAGCAAACAUGAGGUGCAUAAGAUCAAAGAAUGGAAAGCUGGGCCACGCCAGCUAACCCUCAUAGAAAGCAACACUCAUAUAGUGUAGAACUUCACCUAUUUGUCAUCCGCGCAUAAGAGCGAUACUGGACUAGGGAUGGCAAAAAUACUCGAACCCAACGGGUAUGCCCGAAAUCCGACAUAAAUGGGACGAGUAUACCCGAUACCCGACGGGUAUUAGGCCGGGUAUGGAUUAGUUUUAAAAAUUUUCAAAGGGUAUGGCAGCCAUGGCGGAAAUCGGAACAGAGAUUUUGGUUCGCGAAUACCUGUUGAUGAAACAUCUCCUCUAUUUUCUGCCAUAAUUCUGAAGCAGAUGCAGUUCCUCUAGGCAAUCUGAAUUAGCGAUGGAGAAAGAUUUGUUGUUAUCAAGGCGCACACAUAAGCAUCAGAUCUAUCCCAAGCAAUUCUAGCUUCAACUUCACUUGGUGGAACAACUUCACAAUUCAGAUGAUGAUGAAUCUGUCAUGAUUGAUAAGGAGACAAACAGAUUAAAGACGAAAUUUGAAGAAGAGAAGAACAAAUUUUGAAGAUGAGAUUUGAAAAUGAUUGAUCGGAAAGAAUGAAAAUUUCGCCGGAAAAAAUGGAAGUCUUGCCUGAGAUUGAACAACAUGCCAGAAUCAAGUCACCAGAAUCAAGAGCAUAUGCUCUGAUACCAUGUAAAUCAACAGAAUUGUAAGAGAUAGUAAACAGUUUCUCAUUAGUCUUAAUAUGAAUAAUACAUCAUCUAUUUAUACCCAAACUCAACUAA